CACGUAGUUAGCCGGGGCUUCUUGGUCAGGUACCGUCAUUUCUUUCUUCCCUGCUGAUAGAGCUUUACAUACCGAGAUACUUUUUCACUCACGCGGCGUCGCUGGAUCAGGGUUCCCCCCAUUGUCCAAUAUUCCCCACUGCUGCCUCCCGUAGGAGUUUGGGCCGUGUCUCAGUCCCAAUGUGGCCGUCCACCCUCUCAGGCCGGCUACUGAUCGUCGCCUUGGUGGGCCGUUACCCCGCCAACAAGCUAAUCAGACGCGGGUCCAUCAUAUACCACCGGAGUUUUUCACACUGAGCCAUGCAGCUCCGUGCGCUUAUGCGGUAUUAGCACCUAUUUCUAAGUCGUUAUCCCCCUGUACUAUGGCAGGUUACCCACGCGUUACUCACCCGUCCGCCACUAAGCCGCCAACACUUCCACUCUAGACAGACUAAUCGCUACUAAAAUCGGUCGGCCCCGUUACGACUUGACCAUUGUUGUUAAGCACCGCCG
rnacentral:rRNA from 1 species